rnacentral:lncRNA from 1 species
GGGCAAGUUAGUUGCUCCAAAAACAAGAUAAAAUGAUUGAGUUCUUUUCUCAAGCGGGAGUCGGAGUUUAUCUGCUCUGAGAAAUAUUGAUGUUAAAGAGGAAACUAACUUUCUGAACCAUUAAAUGUAAUAUCAUUUAUCUCACCAAAUCCCAAGAUAGAGCCCCAGCAGCUACUAUUAAUGAGUGUCUGGAAUAUGUUCCUGGCAUUUCACCUACCCUCUCUCCAAUCCUUCCAAGAAACUCACAAAGCAGGGCUUUUUCUUGAACUUCUCUUCCUCACAACAGUUAAAUCAUCCAUUUAAAGAUGUCAAACAACCUCCGUGUUCUAAGCCAGACCAUCAACUUAACUUGUAAAACUACCAACUGUUGCUACACACAGGCAAAGGAAUUAAACUUGGUAGCUGAUCAUUUGAUUACAUCUAUCAGUCUACUGGAGGGCUUCAACGCAGAGUAGGUGGAAUUCAUGGUUCAAAUCAGAGUAUUAAUGGGAUCUGUUUGCACACCAAUACCUGAUCUCCUUGGCACAAAUACAGAGCUGAUUCUUAAAGCAUGUCCCCACAAUAAAGCUUUUCUUAAU